CAGCACCUCAAGUGGUCAGGAUGAUUAUUGGGCCUAAAGCAUCCGUAGCCUGUUCUGUAAGUUUCCGGUUAAAUCCAUUAGCUCAACUAAUGGGCUGCCGAAAAUACUGCAAAACUAGGGAGUGGGAGAGGUAGACAGUACUCGGUAGGAAGGGGUAAAAUCCUUUGAUCUAUUGAUGACCACCUGUGGCGAAGGCGGUCUACCAGAACACGUUCGACGGUGAGGGAUGAAAGCUGGGGGAGCAAACCGGAUUAGAUACCCGAGUAGUCC
rnacentral:rRNA from 1 species